rnacentral:rRNA from 1 species
AUUGAACGCUGGCGGUAUGCUUAACACAUGCAAGUCGAACGGUAACAGGCCUUCGGGUGCUGACGAGUGGCGGACGGGUGAGUAACGCGUAGGAAUCUGCCUUAUAGUGGGGGACAACUUGGGGAAACUCAAGCUAAUACCGCAUACGCCCUACGGGGGAAAGCGGGGGAUCUUCGGACCUCGCGCUAUGAGAUGAGCCUGCGUUAGAUUAGCUAGUUGGUGGGGUAAAGGCCUACCAAGGCGACGAUCUAUAGCUGGUCUGAGAGGACGAUCAGCCACACUGGGACUGAGACACGGCCCAGACUCCUACGGGAGGCAGCAGUGGGGAAUACUGGACAAUGGGCGCAAGCCUGAUCCAGCAAUACCGCGUGUGUGAAGAAGGCCUUCGGGUUGUAAAGCACUUUCAAUUGGGAGGAAAACCUAUCGGCUAAUACCCGGUAGCUUGACAUUACCUUUAGAAGAAGCACCGGCUAACUCCGUGCCAGCAGCCGCGGUAAUACGGAGGGUGCAAGCGUUAAUCGGAAUUACUGGGCGUAAAGCGUGCGUAGGCGGUUCGUUAAGUCAGAUGUGAAAGCCCCGGGCUCAACCUGGGAACUGCAUUUGAAACUGGCGGACUUGAGUUGAGUAGAGGGGAGUGGAAUUUCAGGUGUAGCGGUGAAAUGCGUAGAUAUCUGAAGGAACACCAGUGGCGAAGGCGACUCCCUGGACUCAAACUGACGCUGAGGUACGAAAGCGUGGGUAGCAAACAGGAUUAGAUACCCUGGUAGUCCACGCUGUAAACGAUGUCAACUAGCCGUUGGUCCUCUUAACAGGAUUAGUGGCGCAGCUAACGCAUUAAGUUGACCGCCUGGGGAGUACGGCCGCAAGGUUA